rfam:Gossypium hirsutum cultivar TM-1 chromosome 14, whole genome shotgun sequence
AUUCCAUGAUGAGGGCACGUUCAUAAUAAUUUUUUGUACCUUUAUCAUGCCUCAUACAAGGACUCGUCAUCCAUUUGUUGCAAAGUAGUGACCUUGUUCCUUAACUU